GCAGUAGUCCCAUAAUUGGUAUUGGAACUGGUUGCUAUCCAGUCGAUCGUUAAUUCGGUUUGUAGGUUCGAGUCCUACCUGCUGCG
rnacentral:tRNA from 1 species